rnacentral:rRNA from 1 species
CCUACGGGAGGCAGCAGUGAGGAAUAUUGGUCAAUGGGCGCGAGCCUGAACCAGCCAAGUCGCGUGAGGGAUGAAGGUUCUAUGGAUCGUAAACCUCUUUUAUAAGGGAAUAAAGUGUGGGACGUGUCCUAUUUUGUAUGUACCUUAUGAAUAAGGAUCGGCUAACACCGUGCCAGCAGCCGCGGUAAUCCGGAGGAUACGAGCGUUAUCCGGAUUUAUUGGGUUUAAAGGGUGCGUAGGCGGCCUUUUAAGUCAGCGGUGAACGGCGGUGGCUCAACCAUAGAAUUGCCGUUGAAACUGGGGGUCUUGAGUAUGUUUGAGGCAGGCGGAAUGCGUGGUGUAGCGGUGAAAUGCUUAGAUAUCACGCAGAACCCCGAUUGCGAAGGCAGCCUGCCAAGCCAUGACUGACGCUGAUGCACGAAAGCGUGGGGAUCAAACAGGAUUAGAUACCCCUGUAGUC